UACGUAGGGAGCGAGCGUUGUCCGGAUUCAUUGGGCGUAAAGAGCUCGUAGGCGGCUUGGUAAGUCGGAUGUGAAACCUCCAGGCUCAACCUGGAGUCGCCAUCCGAUACUGCCAUGGCUAGAGUCCGGUAGGGGCCCACGGAAUUCCUGGUGUAGCGGUGAAAUGCGUAGAUAUCGGGAGGAACACCUGUGGCGAAAGCGGCUCACUGGACCACAACUGACGCUGAUGCACGAAAGCUAGGGGAGCAAACAGG
rnacentral:rRNA from 1 species